rnacentral:rRNA from 1 species
GGAGAUGGAUUCUGAGACACGAAUCCAGACCCUACGGGGUGCAGCAGGCGCGAAAACUUGGCAAUGCGAGAAAUCGUGACCAGGGAACUCCAAGUGGCUGGGGUAAGACCCAGUCUAUUCUUGACUCUUCAAAGGUCUUGGAAUAAGGGGUGGGUAAGGACGGUGCCAGCCGCCGCGGUAAUACCGGCGCCUCAAGUGGUAGUCGAUCUUAUUGGGCCUAAAACGUCCGUAGCCUGUUUGGUACAUUCGUGGGUAAAUCAACCAGCUCAACUGAUUGAAUUCUGCGAGCACGGCCAGACUUGGGACCGGGAGAGGUGUGGGGUACGCUCAGGGUAGGGGUAAAAUCCUGUCAUCCUGAGCGGACCACCUGUUGCGAAGGCACCACACUAGAACGGAUCCGACGGUCAGGGACGAAGCCUAGGGGCACGAACCGGAUUAGAUACCCGGGUAGUCCUAGGUGUAAACGCUGUGGACUUGGUGUUGGGGACUCUCCGAGAUUCCUCAGUGCCGAAGCGAAGGUGAUAAGUCCACUGCCUGGGGAGUACGGUCGCAAGGCUGAAACUUAAAGGAAUUGGCGGGGGAGCACCGCAACCUGAGGAUUGUGCGGUUUAAUUGGAUUCAACGCCGGGAA